rnacentral:lncRNA from 1 species
GUUUGCAAAACCAUAAAAGGGAACAUAACCCAAAUAAAAAAACAAUAUAAAAGUGUUGUGGCUGCAAGACGAAACAAAAAAACCAACCCCUGGAUAAGGUACGCCAAGAGAAAAAAAAUGAAAAAGUGACCUUAUUACAUAAUUCCAUGUAUGUACUGUACAUAGGUUUUGAUCCACGUGUGGCAGGAAAUUGCUGACCAGGCCUGACCCUCGGUCUCGGAGGGGGGGUCCGCUCCAGUACCACGAUCAUCCGUCCCUCUUUUUGGUGCCACCGGACCUUGCCUGCAGGCGAAAAAAACGGAUGGACCUGGCGAUCGGGACCGAGUUGUUUAUAUACACAUAUCUCACGCGCAACUAUAAAACCAUCUUUAUAUAUUAUAUCACCGCGCCUUGUGUAAAGAAUUGUUGGUGCUUGCAUAUGUAGGGUGUGGAAAAAUUAGCUCAGCGGUCAUUGCCCUUGCGGCUGACCAUACACCUAUGCGCACUUAAAUAGACCCACCUGACCGUAUGUCACCUAUUCUCUCCUUCUCUCAGGUUAUUAAAAUUGUUCGAUGCCGACAUUCUAAAAGCCGCUUAAGGGAAGAAAAGUAAAUCACAAAAUCUAGAAAAGAAAAUGUAAUGAAAAAUUAUGGAUAGAAAAAAAAAUAGA